rnacentral:tRNA from 1 species
GAGAGAGGCAGAAAGCAACAGAGACUGCUAACCUCCCACACCACGGUUUAACUCCGUGGCUCCCUCA